UCUUCGUAUUCUUCCCACGUAAUUGGUGCUGUUUUCAGUUGAUUCAGAGGCAGACGCUGGCAUGGUGCCGCUACGAAAAUUCCUCAAGGUGUUCGACCAACUCGCUCCAUUUUCUUAACGUUUUCGUACCUGGCCGUUAAAAAUACGCGAACGUUUUUCACAAAAUUAAACAUCUCGCUACGAUACUCCAGAAACUGAAGUCUAUCUUUGGUACGUGAACUGUGACGGUGUUCGUUGAUUACGUGUAUUUGUCAACUAUAAAGCGAAACGUCAAGCUCUACGUGUAUUUCGACAAAGAAUUAAGAAGACCAUCGCUGUUCGUUGAUAUGGACGAUGAAUUGGAUAGAAACAUCGAUCGGUCGUCUUCGUAACUCGAACAUAAAUAUCCCGAAAAUAUCAUAUACCGUACGGAAUUGCACAGCACAUUGUACAGCGAGAUCGCCGAUAAAGGGACGUGUCAGACGAGAAGAGAUCCGAUCUCGUAACAAUACGUAUUCUUAUCUGCGUAUUUAUUUCUGUCACAGAAAUUUAAUUUUGACCAUCAAUGUAUUAAAAUAUUUAGAUACAUAUCAUAGUUUGAUAAACCUACGUAAUAUCGAAGUAGACAGAAAAAGGCAAGCCAGCCAAUGGCCAGCGGAUUGCUCAUGGAUGAUGCGAUCUUGAUAUAAUGUCAAGGGCGAGGUACACGCGGUGCGGCAUACACCGAGCACGCGUGUACGAGUCGCAAACCGGGUAUUUUCGGCCGCAAAUCGAACGUUCGACGUGUACGAAUACGGUUUCGGUGUACGCGAAGAUCGUCUAUGACGAAAUGCUGCGCUGAUUCGCGUUGGCGCCAGUUUACGUAUUACGAAUGACAGUAGAACCUGGUUCGUCAAACCCGGUGGAAGAUCUUUUCUCGCGUAGAAAGUGAAAUUGAUGGAAUUCGAGUGUUGCGAUGCAACGAAGGAAAAAUACGCGAACAGACGAAACCUAAAUUUCUCGUGAAAAAUUCUUCUUACAUCGUUAACAUUGUACAGCAUAAAUGAGCUGAAAGUUUGCGCCAACUCGCAUUUCCGUCCUACACAGUGAACGUACUUGAUUAUCACUGUAAAGAAGCACAAGUCCGAGCUAUCUUCGUGUAUCGUAUGCAAUGACCUUUUUUUAAGCAUACGCGCUUCCAAGAAACUACAUCACGUUAUCCAUACGUACGUUACACGUGUUAACCGUACAUGAAAUAAUAAACAGGUAUAAACAGGUAUCGCCGAUAAUCAUUAUCGAUACGUUGACUAACAAUGUUUCAAACGCCUCAUAACUAUCUUGUAUAAUGUUUCAUCAACAUAGACAAGCUAUAAACGUACCUCCUAAUCGACUACUCAUUCGCUUACCCAUCCAACAGUUGCUCUUGGAAAAUUUCUAUUCGAUUUACAGUUUCAAAGAAAUAUUAAAGUGUUGGCUCAAAUUUUAGUAAACAGUUGUUUGUAUGAAAAAAUGAAUUUAAACGAAACGAUUAUUUUCUAAAUUCUCCUAUUUUCAUUUUUCUAAAUCGAAGAUCUAACGAUAAGAAAAAUGUACAGAAUGUGCAUAGUACAGAAACAUGGAAACUCUGUAAUAGUAGAAGAUGCAAAGUGAAUUUCAUUACUUUAGAUGAUAAAACGAUAAAUUUGCAUGAAAAUCAAGUCGAUCUAAUUCAGUGGAAAUCAUUCACGAGGAUCUGAAGGCUUCGACAUGAUCGCUCCUAAUGAUCGUAAUCGGUUGGAACGAUUGGAAUCGGGUAUCAAGGGGAUAAUACGGUGGCAUAUGUCUGAAUCAGUUGGCCCAUUCAGUGGCAAUGACCGGCGGACCUUGCAGCCAACCGACGAGCCAGAAAUUGACAAUAAACGCCCAUUCACGUAAUAACAAUGCCGCAAUGACAGCCGUGCGUGUGAUAUGUAAAUGUCAUGUCCACUGACGACAAUGACUGACACUGAAACUACCGACGAUUCAUCGAAACCGGGUUCGAAUUAAUCGAUGGAUACAUAAAUCAUUAACAAGACCAGUUAUUCCAUAAAAACAAGAAUAAUUAAUUAGUUAGAUGUUCUGUUUCUCUUUCAAAAGAAUUUAAUUAUCGUUGUUGUAUCGUUUACGAUUCUUGAAUUAUUUCAGAACCGAAUUUUCCGAACUGUGGGAAUAAUUUCUUACUCGUUUUUGUUUCUCAAUUAAUUUUCAUAAAUCUUUCUUCCCAGAAACAUUUAAUUACGAUUAUAACAUUCUUCGCGUAACUUGAUUCUCUUGGAAUCAAAUUUUCCUGAUUAUGGGAAAUAUUUCUAUUUUAACUGUUAAACAUUUUCCUAAGAAAUUUUAACAUUGUCAUUUUCCUAAGAAAUAAUGUCCAUUUUUCUAAGAAAUAACAAGUCUAAUGUCGUUUCUUUCAAUGACGAGUUUCCGGCAUAAACAAAGUGUUUUGUGAAAAUUAAUGACUGUAUUUUCGAUUUUGAUAAAUUCAUUCGGUUUUUCUUUAAACCAUCGAUGUCAUGAUCCUUUUGUUUAACUGUGUUAUCGAUGUAAUAUAUAUUACUUUGACGUGGUUGUCUUAUCAGGCUAGAUAAAUGGUUAGUCCAGAUAAUUUUAUGCGACACUAAAUUAUCGCUACUUGUCCGUGAUAUUCUCUUUGCUAUUUCUCAUUUACUUAAGAUUGUUUUUCAGAUUGAACUUUGCGUAUAAAUUAGACAACUUUAUAAUUGUGAAGAUAUGUUGUGCGUACAGUUGUUUAUAAAGUGCUAGACCAGAUAUGCAAUUUAAAGUGCCAAGGAAACAUUGUUUCAUGUUCGAAGCAUCCAAUUCCGUAUUGUCGUUGCUUGUUUGUUUUCUGGUAAAAAUUGAACAAUUUUUGAAUUUCGCAAAAACGUGUCGAAAACUUGUUUCGUGUUUUUCAGAUUGAUACGAACUUUCCUUCCGCUGUAACCAGCUUGCGUGUUGGAACAAAUUGUCCAAUUUUACGAUUAAUUGAUCUUAAAGAAUGCAAUAAAGUAUCGUUUAAAGCGAUCGAUUAGAUAAUCUGGUACGAUACAAACACAUCGUUUCACGUUUGAAGUAUAGAAUUUUUCUUUCGCGAUUUCUUAACAGUUUCGGAUAAAAAAUGAGAAAUUAACAAGUUCUGCAAUUACACGAAGUGAGCAGUAUCGUAGAAUUUCAAUAUUUGAUCUUGAAAUUUAACGUGUUUCACCGUUGUGAAAGUACAUAUAAUAAGUAAAUAACGAUAUAAAUUGUCAAUUUUCAAUGAUUAACGCGUAAUAUGUUACGCCGAUUACUUUAAUUUAAAAAGACAACAAAGGUGUCAAACAAUUUGUGUAUCUGUAAUUCGCAAAACACGUGCGUGACCCUUAAUUGUUCCGAUAAUUUAACAAAUAGAUAUAAUACAACGAAUUUUACGUUUGAAAAGAGGAACAACGAAUAAAUUAAGAACCCUAUCAAUUAUAUCAUAAUUUAACACAUGUCAUAAUGCUAUAAAUUAUAUUAUAAUAUCGGAGUAAUUUUGUCGAGUUGAAUCGAUAGUGGAAAUGUAGAUAAGAUCUAUAGUGGUAAUGCAAUGCUAAUAUUAUCGAUGUUGGUGGUAGUUUAAUCAGAACACCAAAGAUGAAUGGAUAUUACGCUAUUGUAUUACUAACGUUACAGUCAGCUUCAUUAUGUAUCUGAGAACCUAAUGACGCGAUAGAACCACUAUACUAUACUACCAUUUUUUUUUUUUGGUAAAAAUAAUGUUAUUAUUUUAUAUUGGAACGCGAUGAUAUUAAGAAGCACUCGAUUUUACACGGCGAUGAAGGGUUAAUAUUUUGCAAUUUUCAGCAGAUAAACUUAUUACUCCGAAACUUAUAUUACGCACAUUUCCAUUGAAAAUACAUCAAUAGAAUGGUAAAAGUUACGCCACUUCUUCUUUUAAACAGAAACUUCUAUAAUUAUGAAAUUAAAAAUUAAUAAGGGUAAAUCAAUUUCACCCAGCUCGAUCUUAUCCCUUACAAAUGUGAAGUAUAAUAUAAUUUAUUUCUAACAAAAUAAAAAUUUCGAUCAUCCCUGGAACAACCCCUCAAAAUUUAAUUACUUUGUCAAAACACCUUUAUUUCUAACAAAACGAAAAACAUAGAAAAUCUCUACACGAAUGAAUUGUAUCUAAGCUAAAUCCUGAAAAUCGCUACUCUAAGAAAAUGUCUACUUUUACCAAAAUAAAUAAAUAAAUAAUAGAUCUCUAAUUGUAGAAAUUAUUAUUCAAAAAAUUGAUACGUAAUCGAAACGAUAAAUUAACGCCAACCUUGCCAGCCUCGGUCAAACGACCGCUUUGAAAAUUUCAUUAAAAAUUGUGCGUUGCGUUCAUCGUUAUUUCUUUUGUUCAUCCAACUUCAUGUGAAUUCUUAUAUUACCUGAUUAAUCGAUUUCUCAAUUUUUGUUAAUAUAAAAAUUUACAUAAAGUUAGACGAACAAAAGAAGCAACAAUAAACGUACAAUAUUAAACUAAAUUUUAAAACCGGUUUCCCGACCUGGUCUGGCAAGCCCAACGCUAAUUCAUUUUCUCAAUUCGAAAGCUUCAAACAAAUAGAAAGAAAAAGAGGCGAAAUAGCGAUUAUACAUCAAAAGUUUAAUAUCCACCAUAAUUUCAUGGUAGUACAACUAUUACAAGCAUGGGCUGCCAAGAGCAGUCUACCAGUUUCUCUAGUUUCCUCUUCAACGCACUUCAAUCCCAUUCAGCCUUCAACCCUGCACCCUGCCGCGACAAUCAGACGCCCUGAGCAACUCCAGCUACGAUAGAGCAACCGAUCUAGGUCAAUCGGUUGCCAGGCAACAAUUUCCUCGUCUCGUCGUACGCGUUGUCUGAAAAUCGACGACGUAACGUCGCUCCUCGCUGAACCGGGAAGUAUACAGCUCCCGUGGGUAUUUUCCCUGCACGGUUGUUGCCUCAAUUUUCAAUCGAUUACGCGGUCGAAGAAGCGAUCGAACUGUAACCGCACCGUGAUUCGGCUCGUGUGCAAACGAACGCCGGCCAAUUUCCACGAAUUCACCGCGGUAUCGAACGAAGGUAAUGGGGAAAUUGGUCGGACGCUGUGAAGAACUGGAAGCUGCCAGAGACGAAGGGACUCUAUUACCCGUCGAGUUACAGCGAUCAUCGAAGUUUCUGACCGAGUGGAAACUUUCCACCUGGGUUCAAUGUUUCGUUGUUUCGAGGUUUUACGGUGGAACAGCGUGAUCUCCAAGCUAGGACCGUGCUUUCGUUAGAAUUUUAGAUGGUUGCACAUACACGUUGGUAUCUUUGGACUUUGAAUCUUUUCGAUGGGCACGUUCUUGGCGACUAGGAUUUAUUAUGCACCGUUAUAGUAAGUUUCUCUGUAAAUGAACAGCUUGUUUCACGAUUCAAGUAAACGUUUUAGACGUUUGAAAAAUAGGAUGAAUAUUACUUCGUCGAUGUUACAGGCUAGCAUAUUUUAGUGAAGUAUUAAAAGAAAUGUUUUGCCUUAGAAAAUGAAACGAUAGAACUUUGUUGGUAACCAAGGUUCCUUUCCUAUUUAUCCGUGGAAUUUUCAUAAGAUAAAUUCGACAUUGCGGUAUUGUAUUUGCGAAACGGAGUCAAAUUGCGGCAAGGAAGAGAAUGACAGUGGUUUUGCAGGUACGCGUUUGACGACGCACCUGCGACAAAUUUUCGAUUCCCAUGGGCCAAACAAUUUGUAGACAAAGCGAAUUUACUUGGUGAUUUAUAAAGACGUAAAAUUGUUAAGAUCGUUGUACGGGAAGCAUAGUCUGUAAUACGGUUUCCUCAAACUUGUCUACUUUUCGAAGAAACGUAUAUACGGACGAGCAUUAAUCCGUGUCUUUUAUGCUCCAAUUUGCCUGCAUUCAAUUGUAUUCAAUGAAAACUCGCAGCGGUGCGAUUACCAUCGCGACGUUACGUUAUUUCGCUACCAACCAGUUUGUUGAUAAAAAGAUAGUAGUCUCUAUAUGAAGAGAAUUCUGGGCGAAUUAUCUUUAAGAUUCAUGCAGAUAAACUGCUUUUAAAUAAUUAUACCAGCGCGCUGCACGAUUGUUUUAUCUGCGAAACUCCUCUGCUUUCGUAUAAUUAUGAUUUCAAUGAAAACACAAACUUAGAUUAUUUCGUAACAACACGCAGAAAUUAGAAAUUCCCUCUGAUUGUUGCGUUCUUCAUACUAUUUGCGUUUCAUUGUUGGAAUAAAUAACACGAGACCUUGACGCAACAAAAAAAAAAAACGUUCCCCGUAAUUCAUUCUUAUCUCGAUCGAUCGCUAUUUUCAAUAAACAAGUAAAACAAAGUACAAACAACGUACUACCGUCCAUUAUAUCGUUACCAUCCAUUAGUAUUGCAUAAUUAUUCGGACAACUUAAUUCCAAAUUUACACUUCGAUGCUUCCACUUGUAUAAUUAAUGGAAAGUUCUCGGCUUACCUAACGUUCAUCCAACUACGAGCAAUCUUCGUAAACUAUUUCAGUUUCUGUUUACAUUUUGCCAAACACGUUGUUCGAACUUCGUUGAUCGAGUUGGUCGCUGUUCCAAGCAAAAUGUCACGAAUCAAAUCUGAUCGAAUCGAAUGAGAUCAACGCAAAGCGAAACUCGUCGCGUGCGAAAGAACGCGGGUUAAGCUUUGACGAGGCAAACCGAAGCCAAUGUAAAUGCAAAUCCAAGCUUCGACGUAUCACGAUAGUUAAAGUUAAUGAAACGAGGAACAACGGUGAAAUAAUUGAAAUUGUUCCGUACAGAAAUAACACGAGCUCUGCGUGCACAUGUGAUUUCUGUCUACGGAUCAAUGUCACACGACGAACAAUCAAUGAGAAUUGGUUGGUCGAUGGAGACAUCGCAGAUACCCGGCGCCCGUAUUAUACGCGCUUCGUGUGGGUGGCUGGUACAAUCGUGUUCGCGUGCGUGCACCCUGAGCACACACGUAAACAGGUCGUGUUCGUGAUAACCAGCAUGUCAUUAGCCUGUCACGGACGACGAGAUGCGACGCGCGGCGUCUCUCCGAUUUCAUUUGGCGUCAAUGAUCGGGAUCAAUUUGCGCUGACUUUGCCCAGAGGGUGGCACAAACCCACCAGACGCUGGCAGACUUCGAUCGAUUUCGCGCGAUUUAUGAUCGAGACGUUGUUGAAUCGCGCGGUUGACAUAGAAAGGGAUUUUGUUCUUAUUUCAUUCGCAGGAAGUGGAUCUACCCGAUGUCGUAAUCUGUCGGUGAGAGGAUACAGUUGGAUUAGCGUCCUGCCUGCGCUCGGAUUUGCAGUGUGUUAUACACGUACUUGGAGAUUAGCAACUGCAGAUUUCAGUUUUAGUGACCUGUUUCAAAAACAAAGUGCGAUGGCUUAAGGAAUUUAAGUUUAUUGCCAUAAACACCGACUAUUAUCUUAAACUGCGGAAUGUUUGAUCGUAAAUCAAGGAACGUAAAUCAAGAAAUAUAUAUAUAUAUUAACGUUAUUCGAUUUCUCUCGGACUUGAAUAAUGGAUGAAAUACAGGGUGGGUGGUAACUGGUGGUACAAGCGGAAAGGGGGUGAUUCUAUGCGAAAAAAGAAGUCGAAAAUAUAGAAUAAAAACUUUUCGUUUGAGCCUUUGUUUUCGAGAAAAUCGACUUUGAAUUUUCGCUCGGUACGCGUGCACUUUGUCGCGUCUCGUUAUAACGGAUCUCACUGUAGAUCGUUGUCUCGAUGGAAAAAUUAAAAAAAAAAUUUUUAUUCUACAUUUUCGUCUUCUUUUUUCGCGUAGAAUCACCCCCUUUCCGCUUGUACUACCAAUUACCAACCACCCUGUAUAUCGUAUGCAUCUACGAUAUGUUGAAAGCGCUUUCAAGGUCGAUCUGAAACAUUAGGUCGUCCGAAAAGUUUCUUCCGUUUUAUAUUAUGUUGAGGUUAUUCGAUGUGUAAACAGAGAAAACUCGUGAAUAAAGUGUAAGGCAGAAAAUAUAUUUAAAUAGAAGUGUAAUUAUAAGUAAGAAUACAAUUUGAGUUGAUCCAGAUCCGCACGCUAGUGUCACGUAAAAUAACAAAAUAAAAAAAAAAAAAGAAAUUUGAGGUGAAAAAUAAAAAAAAGAAAACUUUAUUUUUUUUCUAACAACAAUCCACUUUACAAUCCACUUCCGAACUCUAGGCGUGACUUUCUAAGACCGACACUCUUAUGAUUUGACUUUCGAUCGGAUCCGAUUACUUUCUUUUGCCAUCCCUUAACAUCCCCACCGUCCAUGCAUUUGCUAGGCGUCCGCGACCAUUGCCACGUGCUCUUUCUUCUAGAACCUUCGGUGGAAGGACCGUUGGGAUGUUGAUAGUUCAUUAGGCACUUCAGCGAUAUACAUUGUGGCCGAGUGCCGUCACAUCUUUAUCUCCAUCGUCAGUUCAUCGGAUUUGAAGUAUGCCGGUUGUGACGCUAGCUGUGUUACUCAAUAACUGAAAACCCCGAAGCCAACGUCGCCUGUCUACUGUUUAUGGUCUGACUUCGUCGCAGUUUUUUGUCUGUCGAUGGCUUCAGUGCUUGAGAAAACUAAAAAGACCAGAUGUAGAGUUUUCUUAGAAGUGGUAACCAUUUCAACAUAUUAUUUUAUCAAAUUACGUACGAUCCAUUUUGUUCUAUCAAAAUAAAAAUCAUAAGGUUGGACAGAUUAGAUUUCAUGUUUGUAUAAAGAUGCAUCGUUGUGAAAGACGGAUCUGUAAAAGAAAGACACUUUUCGGACAACCUAAUAAUAGCAAUCGCGAAAGGAAAAUACGUUAAACAUUCUCUGAAAUUAGUAUGCACUGCGAAACUUUCGAUCUCGUCGGUCGUAUGUUAAUAUUUGUAUUUUACGUAUAAGAGUACUUUUACUGUGUAACUUUUCUCUGCUAGCUACUUUCGCGCGACUCCCUGUGUCAUGUUCAAUCGAAACCAUAAGAUCAACUGUGUAGGAAAAGAAAGAGUAAAAGAGAAAGAGAUAGGAAGAGCGUAUGGGAGGCAAAUUAUGUAUCGACCUUUACGCGCAUGCAUGCGAGUAUUUUUUUUUCCCUAUGUAACGUUCAAUUUUAUUUGUCAUCGACUCGAUAACUCGAUUCGAUCAAGCUGACCUACGUGGAGGAAUGCGAUAAGCGAUUCUUCGGACAGUGGAUAAUUCCUAUAAUAUUACUGUUUAAGGUGCGAUUAUACAGAGUGACGCAGAAGAAAGGUAACGGUGUAUAAACUUGGUGACGAAGACGACAGAUUGAUAUGCAUUUCUGGGAAAUUUGAAAAAAGGAAAAUGUCGAAAGUGCGUUUAAUGUACAAAAUAUAAAAAAAACAUUUAAACAGUGAAGUAUACACUUGUCCUAAAAUUUAACGGCAGUAAAUUAAUUAAAAUUAUUUUAAUAAAGAUACGAAAUGCCAUAAAAAUGCGUGGCCUAUUCAGGACGAACGCGUGCGAUCCUUCAUAGAGAUUAGACCGAGCAUCAAAGAAUACUCAACAGUUACGUGCAUAUUUCCAAUUUAGUCUUGACUCGGGCUUGUGACAACGAUAUCUGUUGAAAAAAUUAUAGUCGAACAGGCAUUUUUGCAGUAUUCGUUCGACUUCCAAUUCGGCGAAAAAUUAUCUGGAAAGCAAAUCAAUUAAUUUUACUAAAUAAAGGAAGGAACGAGUAUUCGCUCGCUUGGUCCAGAGUAGUUUAAACGAAUCUUUUUUACCAUACAAUUGGCAAAUUUUUGGUUGGUAGCGGUACGUAGUAGUCGAAGACCCGGACGGAUGAGAAAUUGAAAAGCGCGAAAACAGACGCGUGACCACAGCCGGCUAAAUCGCAAACAAGGACAUCGUGGCCAACAAUACGCUGAAUGUCGGCUUCGACACGGAUGCUCGCCGAUUAACCUUAGGGUUUUUGAAAGAAACUCGCGAUUACCAGCCGUAUCACCGGUAUGUAACGUGUUACAUACACCACGGUACCCGCACGUCACCAUUCCUUUGUCUUUUUUCAUCUUUAUUUCCUCUCCAUUUUGCUUUUCCCUACUAUUAUACAAAUGUGUUAUCUGGAACGACCUCUUAUCGGAUAAAAAAUAACCGAGCGUUGCUUAAAUCGUGCCAGUGGAGAUUUCCAGUGGAGAUUACAGUUUGCUAGUGAAAUUUCACCACGUUCCUUAGUCCUUUUUUUCUAAAGGUUCGCAGAUUUUCAAGACGACAAUGGUGCGUUUAAUCGUGACGACCGCGUUCUUUUUUUUAAUGUACGUUGUUACUCAGAUACAGUGUCGUUGAAUCAUGAAACGACAUUGAAAGAAUUAAAAAGAUAGAAUCCAAAAGGAGAUUUGUCUUGUCAUUGAAAUAUCGCGAAGAGUACUUUCGACAUUCUGAAUGUUUCUGUAUAUGCGUUCUACGUAUCGUUGAAUACAAUUUUAGUAUAAACGCCAAAAUAUCAAUAUUUGUAUGUAACGUAAACGGUUGUAGCCAACGAACAAUUCUAAAUGAAAGACAAAAAUUUCGUUGGGAAUUUCCCUUCUACCGAUCAAUUUGCGAGUUUUCUCGCAAAGGAGAAAGGUUCUACCAUGUGGAUGUUUGCAAUUUCCUCUAAGUUUGUAGAUAGAGCGUUGUACACAUGCAUAUGUAUAUUUGGUGAUGGAAAGGGACGGAAUAUUUCGUUAUCGUACACCGAUUCCGCUUGAAAUUGGAAUCUCCUCUAAUCUUCACACGUCUUCGACUAUGUAAUCAUAUCUGUCAGACCAUUUCGCAAUAGUUUGUCCCUAACAAUCUACGCUUUUAUUUUUAUUCGAUUCUUCACGAUUCGCGUAAAUAAGUCGUUAGGAAAAUUUUUACGUUCUCACGAUCGAUAAAGAUAUUUACCGAGAUACAGCAGCUACUUGAUGACUGCAUUCUGCCAUAAAUUGCAUGCAUUGAUAAAGCUCGCCAUGUUCUUUACUUCUCAUUCCGGAGCUAAUACUGAAAUUUUAAUUUCUGCGAAAUGAUUUUAAUACCAAAGCGAUAAGAUGUCGCACUUUCUACUUAUAGUAAAACCAAUUUGCGGUACUACAGGUGGCGAUUUCCAAAAAAGUCUUCCUUUGCUUGAAUCUUGCCGCGUUUUUCAACAGCCAAUGCAACUUCCACUCUUAAACUUUCCAGCUUCCUCUCCACCGCAACCGUAAAAUCGAAAAAUCGAGUAAUAAGAUGUUUCGUUAAGGAGUCAGGAAUAUUCAAAGGACACCAACCAGCGAUAGACCUUCGUUCCAUUCAGAUCGUUCAAAGGACAUUCACGCGAUUCUUAUCGCGAACACCUGUCGAUAACUUUGUGACCCACGAGCGCGAUACGCGAAAGGAUAAGUUCGAUCGAUGUUACGUCGAUGUAAAGACACGCAGGUCGACUGCGUAGCUAUGUAAGUUGUUGCCUUUUCUAAUCAAUUUCAUACUUGUCGUUGAUAACAGAUGAAAAUAGGCACUUUUGCAAGAGGAAAUUAGAAAUUCAAUUGCAUGGAAAACUUACGCAAGACGAACGAGUUUACGGAAACAUGUCGGAUGGCAUGACGAAUCGAUUCUGGAAGACAUCGUCUCCAGAUUGACAACUAUACUACGUACGUACCUUUCGAAGUUAAGUACCGUUCAAAAUACGGAAGGAUAGUCUAUGCAAUGUAUAUUUGUUGGCAGAAACACGAUUAUCUUUAUCGAACCACGGAUAAAUAUUUUAUGCUAUUUCAGUACGCCCUAUGCUAUUUUAGUCCUUUGGCGCGUAAACAAGGAAACGAUUGUAUUUUCGUGACAAUUACUAUGCUCGAAUACGUCGAUUUCGAGCUUCUCGGAGUAUCGUUGUUAUCUAUUUUUACUAUACCAAGUAAAAUACUUGCUCCGAAACUUUCCAAAUAGGAAGAAAAGCUAAAGCUUUUGAAAUACGAUUAAAAAGUCCCGAAUUUUUUCAACAACUUCUUCCGUAGUUUUUUUUUCUUUUUUACGUAUUUUUCUAUAUGUUUAAAUUUUUAGAUUUCUAACAAACAUUUGGAGAAUGUUAAUAUUAGAAUCUCUGUUACCCUGACAAUUGUAUGUACCGGAUAAAACCAAUGAAAAUACGUGAAUUUGUGCGAGAUAAAAAUAAAAAUUGAUGGCCACCAAUAAGCGCGACUCUAUGGGAAAAAUCAGAGGAAAAAGAGAGCCGGAACGGCGCGCAAUUGGGUCGUACAGUCACACGUUCUUGUCAAGGCGACCGGAAGUAAAGGGCGUUCGCAAUCCUGGAUGAAGAAAGGCUGUUAAACAAGACUUUUUAUUUUUUCGCCAGUCUAUGUUUGAUUUGGUUCUAGCCAAGCUAAGCCAACCAGGUUAGUCAAAAGAUCAUGUUCCACGGUACGAACAUCGGUGUUCGGGAAUAUUGAGAAUAAAAAUUAAUUUACUACUUAAACUGUACGCAACGAUCCUUUUGAUGGAAUUACCAGCUUCGUAAAUAUCUAUAAUUAGCCAUUUCAUUAUAGGUAAUGAGGAAAACUCGUCGGUUGUUACGUUUUGAUACAAUCUGGAUAAGAUGAUAAGCAGAUUAUUAUCAUUAUCUUUAGCAUAAUUUCUUGGUAUAUUAUGUUCGUAAUUUUAGUACCUGUAUUAACAUUAUUCCGCGAAUGUAAAUUAAUUGUUUAAAUAGGGAAUAUCGUAUUGAAAUAAAAAUGGAAGACGAGGGAACCUUAUGCAAAUGCGUGGUAUUUAAAACGCUACGCUUGAAUCUCGAUUAUCUGAUAAAUAUUCACGAAUACGUUUAUUUAAAGCUGUCGAUUGUCGGAUUGCGAUGGCAGAUAAAAGGAAAUAUCGUAUCGAAACAAAAGCAUGUUUUAAAGUUAAGUAAUAUAUUUAAUUAAUUAAUAUCGCAGAUUUUUAUAAACAUUCUUAUCUUUUCAUCAGUUCGUAAUUUCUAAAGAGAUAACAAUAACCUUGCUGUUUCGUGUUUUUCACGAAUUUACUCGGCAGAAAGGUUAAUGAAGGCUAUGAAAAAUCAAAAUUGCAAAUUACCUUCGAGAACGUGUGAAUACGUGCGUGAAAGAGUGAAAAGGAUUUGCAUAUUCGAUAAAAAUGGCUCGUGCCUGAACGUUCGUCGAGCAUCGAUAAUUAAUUUCGACGAGUUUGAUAAUAAAAUCACGAAAUUGAAGCAUGAUGUAACGUGACGUAAAUCUGGUUAAAUCAAAUUGAACGAAAUACUACAUUGAAAUGUUGAAUGAGCGAAAAUGUGUUUUCUUGGCUGUGACAGGUGCAAUGUAUCUAAUCUUCGACGUACAAGUGGAUCUUUGAAACUCAAAGGUUAUUGCACCACUCUAGCAACAAGUGUCAGUCAACGGAUAAGAGAAGGAAGAGAAAGAGGAGAGAUAAAGUUUCUCUUUCGCAGCCUUCUCCCUUAUCACUGACACGGCUCCUACCAUCUAUCUCUCUUAUCUAACCAAUCAGAUCUGAAACGAUAUUAUAUCGUGCUUCCUCAAAGUAAAUACAAUUUUUCUCAUAUACGUUGGAAACGUAUAUCGAGCGUUGAAAUCUAUUUUUUUCAUAAGGAGAAGCAAUAGAUUUGUCGAAUUUUAGGAGAAAUCUAUAGAAAAUCUAGAAACAUAUCGAACACUGGAUUAUCGACUUGAAGCUUGCACGAGGAAUCACAUACUUUCAUUUUAUUUGACAGAUUAUUCCAUUAUUCGUUUGAAGAUUUGCUUGAUAAAAAUUUAUUAAGAUUUAAGCUUAUUAAGAUUUAUUAAGAAGUAUGGAUUUUACUUUGCCAUCGAUCAUGUUAUUUUAAUCUACUUUCGAUAGAACGAUUUUUCUAUAGGAAUUUAUAUAUUUUCGCGUAUGAAUGCGUAGAAAUAGAAGGAAAAGUGUGAGCUUAAAAAUCGCAGAACGCAGCGAAACGUAAUAAGUAACGUAAUAAGUAGGUAACUAAUAAAUUCUAUAUAAAAACAAAUAAAAAAAAAGAAGGAAAGACGUAAUGGAAGAAAUUCAAUAAUAAAGUAAAGAUGAAAAUUAAGCAAUUUUAAUUUAAAAAUCAUGCAAAAAUAAAAUGAUAUACAAUAAUUAAAACUUCCAUAAAUGAUAACGAUAACAAUACGAUGUAAUUCCUCGUACUUUUAGGAUACAUUUUAAUUCACCACUAAAGGAAAUCUUUCUUUACAGUGAAACAUUCAAGGAUCGUUAUAUUCUAGAUUUUGCUCCGUCAUUAUCGCGUCAACGGAGCAAGAAUCUAGAGUUAUCGCGAUUAAAAAGAGAAAGACCAAGGCGAAUAUGUGUAAACAAAAUUCUUGUCCACAGAUUAUUUCUUGUUUGCUCGGCUCGAAUUUAGAAGCUACUGUGCAAACGUAAUUAAUUCGAACCAGUUGCGGGGGUGGCGAUAUUUGUCUUUAAUACUACGAACCGCUUGCGCACUUAUCAAAACGUUGAGAAAUUAUUCACGUUUCAAGAUGCAACAAUGCGUGAUUUCAUUAAGACGACGAAUUAGCGUUACCCACGUUCUUGCAUGAAUUAAUUCAUUUCUUGAGACGGUAGACAAGAUUUACGAGGAGGAAACGAGCGUGUUUGUCGAAAGAUAGAAUAUCUUCCCCGUUACCAAGAUUAAGAUUACGAAGAAAGCGAACAACGAACAUCACAUUAAUAGAAAAAUGCGAAUUAAAAAACCACCGGCAACUGUACCUGUUCUUCUUCACUUCUUCAUCCUCUUUCUUCCUUCUCUCCCGCUUUCCUCUCUUUUCAUUCUCUUCGCUGUUAUAUUCGUUUCGAUCUAAUAAUAUUAAUAAAAUAACUGUUCGAAUAUUCUACUAUAGACUCGGCUCAUACAGAUUCAUAUCAUAAUGCGUAUCUAAUAUUUCUUUCUUUCUCUAGAAUUUUUAUCUACGUUAAGAAAAAUCCUCAGAAAUUUUCUUAUAAUCGUUUCUUUGAUAUUAAAUCCUGAUUCACGUUACUCUCCGGAGUUAAAAUACCCUGUCCACUGUUUCACAACGUUCGGUAAAACUGGUAUACAUGUAGACAAUCAGCAAACAAUUUGAUCUACCUAUUUGUUCGUUUAUUCGAGGACCUGAUAACUCUCUGUCCUCGACUUCGACUAACACGGUCAACUCGCUGCUCAAACUCGCGCCCUUCUGCGUAAUACGUACAUUGUUUGCCUGUAAUUAAUCUCGAUUAUUCUGUAAUCCGCGCGAAUUGGAACAGAAGUGUUAAAAGACCGAAAGAAAGGGGCGAAAAGUGGGAGGAAGAAAAAUUCUAUUUUAAAGUCGUAGAAUUGAGAAUUGUGGAAUUUUUGAGUUAGGCGUUUACCGAUUGUAUAUCGAGCGAAGAAUGGAAAAGUUCAUCGGCGCAAUGAUAUUUGCAUAAUACGAUGAUGAGUUUUACAUUAAUCGAGAAAUUUUUUCUUUCGAAUUUCAAUACCAAGACCAAUAUCGCCGCUGUUGAAACAAAAAUAACCUUCGAUCGAUUCCUGUUUAUUUAAGUAGCAUAAAUUCAACGACUUAUACUAUAUGUGCAAUCCUACAAAUCCUACUAAUCUUAAUUUCUUCAUUGAAAAUUCAAAAGCUCGUCGAACAUCGUCGCUCACGAAAUAAAAAUUACUUUUUCGAUUAUCAUGUUUAUUCGAGUAACACGAACUAAAUUUAUUCUCUACCUAUUUACUACUUUGCUUCUGAUAAGCGAUUCGAGUCGGCAAUAAGAAGGUAUCUCGUUAAUUACGCUUGUUUUGCCCUAACUUUAUCCUCGUUCGAACAUCACCUCCAGCUCCAACAUCAUGCCCUUAUCGAUGAGCUAAUUGUUGCGAGGCUGGCGUUUAAUUAACCGACUCGGUGAACUUUCCCGCUUUUAUCCGCCGAGGGGUUACGAUAAUUUAUUUACGGGAUGAUUGCCCCAGCUCGAGCCAAUUGUAUCUGGGUGCCAUUUUUUACACGACGACAGUUGUUUCACGAGGUGAACAAACUCGUCCGUAGACGGUUCGCGCAGAUUCUUAGCGAACCGUAAUGACGAAAUUGUACGGUUAUCUUCAGCAAUCGAUUGUCCGAUCGAGAAACUCGCCCCCCGUGAAAUUUUCUCUGUCGUGUGUCUUAAUGUCGUUAGGAUCGUGUAACGAAGAACACCGUAAUACAGGUGAAUCGACAAGGAUUUGUAAAUUAAUUACUUUGUAAAUUAACAGCGGUGUACGGUUUUACGUUUAGAACUAUGGGCGAAUAUGGUGUACAAAUUGCGCCAUGGGCACCUAAACCAAAGAUAUUUGAAGAAAUACAAACGUUUAAGGGAGUGUCCUGAAUUAGAAUGUUCUGAAUUAGAAAACAGAGUCUUUUUGUGAUUUUUUUAGAAGGGAAAGAAAUAAAUGAAGUUAUUGAAUUUUCAGGUAUGGUUUUACAUAUAUUUAACGAAUACAAAGAAAUUUUUUUAAAGUAAAAAAGAAAUUAUAACAGACUUCCAAGCCUAUUUCAUUUCAUGGGCUGCUCGAUGAACUAAAAAGAAGGCAGAAAAUAGCGUGAAAUUAAAAAGUUUGCCGGGUUUAAAGAAAAAAAGUGUCUUAUAAAAAGAAAAAAUAAACUUUAAGGUGCUAUAACAAUUAUUUAAAUAAACUUUUUGACGAACUUUUUUAGUUUAUCGAGAAGAAAAAUAUAUAAUAAUUUAAUCCUUCUUUUGGUUUUUUGUUUCGCUCAAGAAUUACGAGAUAGAUCUUUCACGCCGAUUGAAAACUGCAGCCCAUGAAAUAGGCUUAGAAAUCUGUUAUAAUUUUCUUUUUUACUUUAAAAAAAUUUUUUUAUAUUCGUUAAAUAUAUAUAAAACCAUACCUCAAAAUUCAAUAACUUCAUUUCUUUCUUUCGCUUCUAAAAGAAAAUCACAAAAAGACGCUGUUUUAAAACAUUCUAAUUCAGGACAGCCCUUUAAAAUUUCACUAUUGUAAAAGCGCUUGAUAAAGUUUCGAUGAAAAAUUAUAAAUCGCUUACUCUGACUAUUCCGGCAGUUUUACUGUAAAAUACUAAGAUCACGAGUAACUGGAACAUAGGGGAGUCUAAAUGAAAGGUAUAUGGAAGGAUAAAAAUCUGCAAGAAUGUAGCGAAUGUAUAGAACUUCGACGUGAAAUUACGAAUUGCAUAUUUGAAUUAUUCUGGUAGUAUUUAGCGUGGAGAAAUAGUAACUUCCGGGUUUUAAAAAUAAAAUAUACUUAUAUCGCGUGUCCUUCUCUAAAUGAGACAUUCGUUGAAUAUAUUAAAUACUGACGCGAAAUGAAUGUAAUAUAUUUAUAGUUAGAUUACGAUUAGGCAGAAGAAGGGCAAUUUGCAGAGUUUAAAAAUGAAAUCUACUUCCGUGAUGAAUUGUGUUUGUUUAAAUGAAAUAUUGAAUGUCCAGAGACAAAUGACAAAUUGCAGUUUUUAAGAGAAUAAUAUAUGGCAUACCGGUAAUACUGCAGCUCGUAGCGUAAAUUUUAAACGAAUGAAAUUAAGUAAAAUUAAAUAAAAUAGCAGGAAACAUGGAAGUUGAAUGGAAUAUUACGAAUAUUUGUAACAAAUUAGCUUACAAUGAAAUUCGUAAACGUGUAAAUUACUAGAUAUGUAUCGAAAUAAGAAAUAAAGUUUGCUCACUUGUA